GGGGAAUAUUGGACAAUGGGGGAAACCCUGAUCCAGCCAUGCCGCGUGAGUGAUGAAGGCCUUAGGGUUGUAAAACUCUUUUGUCCGGGAAGAUAAUGACUGUACCGGAAGAAUAAGCCCCGGCUAACUUCGUGCCAGCAGCCGCGGUAAUACGAAGGGGGCUAGCGUUGUUCGGAAUCACUGGGCGUAAAGCGCACGUAGGCGGAUUGUUAAGUCGGAGGUGAAAUCCCAGGGCUCAACCUUGGAACUGCCUUCGAUACUGGCAAUCUCGAGUUUGGAAGAGGUUGGUGGAACUGCGAGUGUAGAGGUGAAAUUCGUAGAUAUUCGCAAGAACACCAGUGGCGAAGGCGGCCAACUGGUCCAAUACUGACGCUGAGGUGCGAAAGCGUGGGGAGCAAAC
rnacentral:rRNA from 1 species